UACGGGGGGGGCAAGCGUUGUUCGGAAUUACUGGGCGUAAAGGGCGCGUAGGCGGCCUGUUAAGUCGAACGUGAAAUCCCUGGGCUCAACCCAGGAACUGCGUCCGAUACUGGCAGGCUUGAAUUCGGGAGAGGGAUGCGGAAUUCCAGGUGUAGCGGUGAAAUGCGUAGAUAUCAGGAGGAACACCGGUGGCGAAGGCGGGUCUCUGGGCCGAUACUGACGCUGAGGAGCGAAAGCGUGGGUAGCAAACAGG
rnacentral:rRNA from 1 species